GAGUUUGAUCCUGGCUCAGGAUGAACGCUAGCGGCAGGCUUAACACAUGCAAGUCGAGGGGCAGCACGGGUAGCAAUACUUGGUGGCGACCGGCGCAAGGGUGCGUAACGCGUGAGCAACAUGCCCGUAUCAGGGGAAUAAUCCAGGGAAACUUGGUCUAAUACCCCAUAGCAAUUAUUUGAGGCAUCUUAAAUAAUUUAAAGCUUUGGUGGAUACGGAUUGGCUCGCGUGACAUUAGCUAGAUGGUAAGGUAACGGCUUACCAUGGCUACGAUGUCUAGGGGUUCUGAGAGGAAGAUCCCCCACACUGGAACUGAGACACGGUCCAGACUCCUACGGGAGGCAGCAGUGAGGAAUAUUGGACAAUGGAUGGAAAUCUGAUCCAGCCAUGCCGCGUGCAGGAAGACGGCCCUAUGGGUUGUAAACUGCUUUUGUAUGGGAGCAAUAAGGUCUAUGCGUAGACUGAUGAGAGUACCAUACGAAUAAGCAUCGGCUAACUCCGUGCCAGCAGCCGCGGUAAUACGGGGGAUGCAAGCGUUAUCCGGAUUUAUUGGGUUUAAAGGGUGCGUAGGCGGUUUGGUAAGUCAGCGGUGAAAUAUUUCAGCUUAACUGAAAGGGUGCCGUUGAUACUGUCAGGCUUGAAUAUGGUUGCUGUGGGUGGAAUGUGUGGUGUAGCGGUGAAAUGCUUAG
rnacentral:rRNA from 1 species